rnacentral:rRNA from 1 species
GGGUUGUGAGGUUAAGCGACUAAGCGUACACGGUGGAUGCCCUGGCAGUCAGAGGCGAUGAAGGACGUGCUAAUCUGCGAUAAGCGUCGGUAAGGUGAUAUGAACCGUUAUAACCGGCGAUUUCCGAAUGGGGAAACCCAGUGUGUUUCGACACACUAUCAUUAACUGAAUCCAUAGGUUAAUGAGGCGAACCGGGGGAACUGAAACAUCUAAGUACCCCGAGGAAAAGAAAUCAACCGAGAUUCCCCCAGUAGCGGCGAGCGAACGGGGAGCAGCCCAGAGCCUGAAUCAGUGUGUGUGUUAGUGGAAGCGUCUGGAAAGGCGCGCGAUACAGGGUGACAGCCCCGUACACAAAAAUGCACAUGCUGUGAGCUCGAUGAGUAGGGCGGGACACGUGGUAUCCUGUCUGAAUAUGGGGGGACCAUCCUCCAAGGCUAAAUACUCCUGACUGACCGAUAGUGAACCAGUACCGUGAGGGAAAGGCGAAAAGAACCCCGGCGAGGGGAGUGAAAAAGAACCUGAAACCGUGUACGUACAAGCAGUGGGAGCACGCUUAGGCGUGUGACUGCGUACCUUUUGUAUAAUGGGUCAGCGACUUAUAUUCUGUAGCAAGGUUAACCGAAUAGGGGAGCCGAAGGGAAACCGAGUCUUAACUGGGCGUUAAGUUGCAGGGUAUAGACCCGAAACCCGGUGAUCUAGCCAUGGGCAGGUUGAAGGUUGGGUAACACUAACUGGAGGACCGAACCGACUAAUGUUGAAAAAUUAGCGGAUGACUUGUGGCUGGGGGUGAAAGGCCAAUCAAACCGGGAGAUAGCUGGUUCUCCCCGAAAGCUAUUUAGGUAGCGCCUCGUGAAUUCAUCUCCGGGGGUAGAGCACUGUUUCGGCAAGGGGGUCAUCCCGACUUACCAACCCGAUGCAAACUGCGAAUACCGGAGAAUGUUAUCACGGGAGACACACGGCGGGUGCUAACGUCCGUCGUGAAGAGGGAAACAACCCAGACCGCCAGCUAAGGUCCCAAAGUCAUGGUUAAGUGGGAAACGAUGUGGGAAGGCCCAGACAGCCAGGAUGUUGGCUUAGAAGCAGCCAUCAUUUAAAGAAAGCGUAAUAGCUCACUGGUCGAGUCGGCCUGCGCGGAAGAUGUAACGGGGCUAAACCAUGCACCGAAGCUGCGGCAGCGACACUAUGUGUUGUUGGGUAGGGGAGCGUUCUGUAAGCCUGUGAAGGUGUACUGUGAGGUAUGCUGGAGGUAUCAGAAGUGCGAAUGCUGACAUAAGUAACGAUAAAGCGGGUGAAAAGCCCGCUCGCCGGAAGACCAAGGGUUCCUGUCCAACGUUAAUCGGGGCAGGGUGAGUCGACCCCUAAGGCGAGGCCGAAAGGCGUAGUCGAUGGGAAACAGGUUAAUAUUCCUGUACUUGGUGUUACUGCGAAGGGGGGACGGAGAAGGCUAUGUUGGCCGGGCGACGGUUGUCCCGGUUUAAGCGUGUAGGCUGGUUUUCCAGGCAAAUCCGGAAAAUCAAGGCUGAGGCGUGAUGACGAGGCACUACGGUGCUGAAGCAACAAAUGCCCUGCUUCCAGGAAAAGCCUCUAAGCAUCAGGUAACAUCAAAUCGUACCCCAAACCGACACAGGUGGUCAGGUAGAGAAUACCAAGGCGCUUGAGAGAACUCGGGUGAAGGAACUAGGCAAAAUGGUGCCGUAACUUCGGGAGAAGGCACGCUGAUAUGUAGGUGAGGUCCCUCGCGGAUGGAGCUGAAAUCAGUCGAAGAUACCAGCUGGCUGCAACUGUUUAUUAAAAACACAGCACUGUGCAAACACGAAAGUGGACGUAUACGGUGUGACGCCUGCCCGGUGCCGGAAGGUUAAUUGAUGGGGUUAGCGGUAACGCGAAGCUCUUGAUCGAAGCCCCGGUAAACGGCGGCCGUAACUAUAACGGUCCUAAGGUAGCGAAAUUCCUUGUCGGGUAAGUUCCGACCUGCACGAAUGGCGUAAUGAUGGCCAGGCUGUCUCCACCCGAGACUCAGUGAAAUUGAACUCGCUGUGAAGAUGCAGUGUACCCGCGGCAAGACGGAAAGACCCCGUGAACCUUUACUAUAGCUUGACACUGAACAUUGAGCCUUGAUGUGUAGGAUAGGUGGGAGGCUUUGAAGUGUGGACGCCAGUCUGCAUGGAGCCGACCUUGAAAUACCACCCUUUAAUGUUUGAUGUUCUAACGUUGACCCGUAAUCCGGGUUGCGGACAGUGUCUGGUGGGUAGUUUGACUGGGGCGGUCUCCUCCUAAAGAGUAACGGAGGAGCACGAAGGUUGGCUAAUCCUGGUCGGACAUCAGGAGGUUAGUGCAAUGGCAUAAGCCAGCUUGACUGCGAGCGUGACGGCGCGAGCAGGUGCGAAAGCAGGUCAUAGUGAUCCGGUGGUUCUGAAUGGAAGGGCCAUCGCUCAACGGAUAAAAGGUACUCCGGGGAUAACAGGCUGAUACCGCCCAAGAGUUCAUAUCGACGGCGGUGUUUGGCACCUCGAUGUCGGCUCAUCACAUCCUGGGGCUGAAGUAGGUCCCAAGGGUAUGGCUGUUCGCCAUUUAAAGUGGUACGCGAGCUGGGUUUAGAACGUCGUGAGACAGUUCGGUCCCUAUCUGCCGUGGGCGCUGGAGAACUGAGGGGGGCUGCUCCUAGUACGAGAGGACCGGAGUGGACGCAUCACUGGUGUUCGGGUUGUCAUGCCAAUGGCACUGCCCGGUAGCUAAAUGCGGAAGAGAUAAGUGCUGAAAGCAUCUAAGCACGAAACUUGCCCCGAGAUGAGUUCUCCCUGACUCCUUGAGAGUCCUGAAGGAACGUUGAAGACGACGACGUUGAUAGGCCGGGUGUGUAAGCGCAGCGAUGCGUUGAGCUAACCGGUACUAAUGAACCGUGAGGCUUAACCUUACAACGCCGAAG